UAUAAAUCUUUACAGAAGCAGACUGCCACAUCUUUAUCCCACGGAACAGCUGGUGGGUUUGAAUUACCGACCUUUAGAUUAGCUGCCAAGCACUUAACCACUGCACCACCAGGGCUUCUUGUGGCAAGUAUAGGGGCUUCCAAGGAGAAGUGAGUAUGAGUGAGUUAGAUAGGGCUUGAAUAUAUUUCACAAAAUAACCUGACACUUUCUCUGAGCUGUUCUAUCAUGCUGUCUUUAAAUUUUAUGAGAAAAAUUACACAAAGUACUUUUCAAAUUGAUUUUUUCUUAGUUUAUUAUUAUAAAAGUUAGUUCAUAUUUAUAAUUAUAACCUAACAUAUUUUAAGAUGAUGUGUGAGUUAAACUAUUUAACUUGAAAAUUUGGUUCCUGUUUUAAAUGGAUUUGCUCUUUCUGGCAUUGGUAUCUUCUGAUAAGGAAGACAGAGUGAUGAUAUGAUAUAAACCUAAUGCUGUAUGAUUGACAUUAUGACAGAGAUUUACAUACAUUGCUUUGUUUGCCCAAUGGAUGGGUGUCUAACCUGAUGUUGUGGAGGGAUGCAGGGCAGGUAAAGUCAUAAUUCUGAAGAGAUCUGAGCCAAGUUUUGAAGUGUGAGUCUGAUUUAGCUAGGUAAAAGUGAAAUGGGGUAUUACAAAUGGAACAAAGAACACAUUGAAAGGAAUGAUUUCAAGUAAUUUCUGAUGGAUUAUUUGUGAAUAGAGGCAGAUUUACUGUAAAUUUAUGAAGCACAAGCUUCUAGGUUCCUAAAAUGCUAAGCCCUUUGCAAAUCCCUGGGAAAAGUCUAGCAUUUUAUUUACAUGGACAUAUGUUUUUAUAAUUUUUAUAAUACUUAACUGUUUUUUCUUUUUUAAAGCAAGCCCCUGAAAUUUAUAUAUGAAAUUAUAUGUUUUCAGGAUAUGAGAGAUGGGAAAAGAUGUUGAUUAACCAAAAUUAUGGAGGACACUGGACACUGUAAAGUAGUUUGGCUUUUUAACCUUUAAGUGUUAAGGUGGCACUAAAAAAUUGGAGAAAAGGAUGAGAAAUGCACAAUAUGGAGGAAAGUGAUCCUUUGAAGGAUAUAGGAGAUAAACCCAAACAGAAACAUAGAGGUAAGAGGGGGGGAAAAAUUCAAUGAAUUCAUAGAGAUGGGGGCAGUAAGACAGUUUCAAGUGGAAAGUAAUAUUCUAAUGGCUUUUGAUGAGCCCUCUUCUAAUUAUUAAAAUAUCUAGGAAUAAAGUAUCUGAAACACAAAGAAUAUAAAAAAUGAAAAAAAAAGAUUAAAGGAUACCCAAGAUUUGUGGGACAAUAUCAAACAUUCUAAUAUACACUCAAUUGGAACCAAGAAGGAGAAGAAAUGGAGAGCAGGGCAGAAUAAUUAUUUGAAGAAAUAAUGACCAAGAAGUUUACAAAAUUACUGACAGACACCAAACCCAAGACCUGAGAAGCUCAGAGAACACCAAACAGGAUAAAUACCAAAAACAUCUAACAAAACAAAAGAAGGCCACCACCAGGCAUAUCAUAUUCAAAUUGCUAAAAAGCAAAAGAGAAAAUCCUGAAGGCAGCUGAGGGAAAAAACACAUUAUCUACUGAGGAACAAAGAUAAGAAUUAUAGUAUAGACUGUUUGUCAGAAACUGUGCAAUCCAGAAGAUAGAGUAUCAUCUUUAAAUAUUGGAAGAAAAAAUAUGGCAAUAAUAAAAUCCCUACAUACUGAUCUUGCAGACAUAAAAAGGAUAAAGGGGAAUGAUUGGAACUACUCUAUGUUCAUAAAUUCAGUAACAGAUGAAAUGGACAAAUUCCUUGAAAAACACAAACUACCAAAACUUACUCAAGAAGAAACAGAUCACCUGAAUAGCCCUGUAUCUAUUAAUGAAAUUGAAGAUAAAAAGAUAGCAACAGAAGAAUGUUUGCAGUUAAAAACAUUCUCAAAGAGAAAACUCCAGAUGGGUUCACUGAUAAAUCCUACCAAACCUUUAAAGAAGAAAUAAUGUCAUUUCUACACAAUAUUUUCCAGAAAAUAGAAGGAACACUUCUUAAUUCAUUUUAUAAGACCAGAAAUUCUCAAUACAAUAUUAGAAAAUCAAAUUCAGCAACAUGUAUAAAGGAUAUUACAUUACAGCUAAGUAAAAUUUAUGAUAACUUCAACAUUUGAAAGUUAUUCAAUGUAAUUCACCAUAUUAACCGAUUAAAACUAUACAUUCACCUCAACAGAUACAGAAAAAACAUUAGGCAAAAUUCAGUAUCCAUUUAUGAUUUAAACUAGGAAGCCAAGGAAACUUUCAUAAACUAAUAAAGGGUAUGUAUGAAAAGCCUGCAGUUGAUGUCUUAAUGGUGAGAGACUGAACACAAGAACAAGGCAAGAAUGUCCUCUUGCACCACUGCUUUUCAUCGUUAUACUCAAAGUCCUAGCUAGUGCAAAACAGCAAUACAGAGAAACAUAAGGCAUAUAGAUCUGAAAGGAAGGAAUAAAACUGUUCUUUAGGUAACUAUUCUUAGAUGGAGCCCUGGUGGCACAGUGGUUAAGAGAUCAGCUGCUAAGCAAAAGGUCAGCAGUUCGAAUCUACCAGCUGCUCCUUGGAAACCCUAUGGGGCAGUUCUCCUGUGUCGUGUAAGGUCACUGUGAGUUGAAAUUGACUUGACGACAGCAGGAUUUUUUUUUUCUUAGAUACUUUGCUUAUCUACAUUGAAGUUUUCAGAGAAUAUGCAAAAACACGUAUAACAGGUGAGUUUAGUAAGGUCACAGGAUGUGAGAUCAAUAUACAAAAAAUCAGUUGCAUUCCUCUGUAACAGCAGUGAACAAUUGGAAAUAGAAAUUUAAAAAAAAAAAACCAUUUAACAUAGCACCCCAAAAAUGAACAACUUAGGUAUAAAUCUAAAAAAUACAUACAAGUAUUCCAAUGCUGAAAACUACAAAAAACUGAUGAAAGAAA